rnacentral:lncRNA from 1 species
AAUAGGGGUUAAUUACAUACAGGUAAGCCACAGAUAUAGUAAAUUACAAAUAUAUUUCUAUAAAAUUUAAUUUUUAUAAGUUAUUCCUACAAAAGUCAUAAUAAUUUUUAAGAUAUGUCCUUAUAACAAUAGAUUAAAUACUUUAUCCUAGUUAAUUUUUGAUAUUUUUACCCUUUUUAUAUUAUAUUUUUAUAAUUUUUAGAGUAAUAUAUUUGUAAUGGCAAAANAUGCGAGUACACUUACAUACCAACACAUUAAAUUACUAAUAAUUAAUUAGAUAAUCAAUUAUAAAUAAUAAUUACUUUAUUAUUAAAGUUAAAUUUACAUUUUAAUUAAUUUUUGUUCCCACUUGAGAAGAAACUUGUUUUAGAAAAAAUGAUGAGACAACAGUUACAAAUUUACACCAGGAUAUGCUUGUUUAUUUCAGAAAUUCGAGAAUUACUGUUUUUUUAAUUAAUUUUUGUUCCCACUUGAGAAGAAACUUAUUUCAGAGAAAAAAAUGAAACAACAGUUACAAAUUUAUAUCAGGAUAUGCUUGUUUAUUUCAGAAAUUCGAGAAUUACUGUUUUUGGGUAUUAAAAAUUAUAUUUGAAAACAAAGAAGGAAACAAAGACUUAUUCUCCCCUUUAAUAUAUUUUGUUAUUCUUCUUAAUUCUAACAAAAUGUCUCGGAAAAAUAAAUAAAUAAAAAAAAAACGUCAAUUGAAAGCAAGCCAAGUAGUUCCAAACAUCUGAAUAAUUAGCUUCGCACAUGAAAACCCACUUGUAAGAGUACAUUGCUUCACAGACUUAGCUCUCAGGAAGAUUGAACAGUGAAUCAAUCUUCCAUAUAGAUUGAGAAUCCCCUGGCACAAGAAGCAGAAAUAUUUAACUGAACAAUGGCUACUUUUUUUCACAAUAUUAACNUGAUAAGAGCAAUCCUCCGCCUUUCUCCGCGGACUAAUGAAGUAAUCAUCCGUCUCUGAAUCACUGGAUUGAAGUAUCAAUCGCCUCUUCCUCUCCUUCUUCACAUCAACAGAUUUACGCAAAGUUGCAGAAUCACAAGUUCCCUUCCCCUUCCUUCCAAAAUCGCCUCCUUUCUCCACAAACGACAUCAUAAACCCCAAUCCACCCAAUCCCAACCGAACAAAUCACGCCAAAUCGAUCGAAACACAACAAACCAAUCGAAUCAAACCACGAAAACACCCAACAAAUCCGUCCAUCCUACAUUAAACAAAAAAAAAUAUCCAAGAAAAAAAACCAAUUAAAACCCGAAAUCGGGAUCGAACAAGGAACUUUAAUCGGGACAAAAGCUACCUCUCCGAGGAGAUCACGCUCACGAGAUCAUCCGAUCGAUGCCGAAGCGAUCGAAGAGAUCAACGAAUCAAAGAUGCGUAGAACAAAUUAGGGUUAGAGAAUUAGGAAGAGAGAGAGAUGGGGAGAGACGCGAUUUUAUUUUCUUAUUUUCUUUUUUCCUUUUUCCGUCCUUUGGGAAGAGCGUUUAUAUACUUUGGUAUCGCGACCGUUCUCUCCCGGAAAAACACACGGUGUAACAGUUACAUGUCACGGUUUCUCAUACUGACAUGUGGGCCCCUUUGUCGUGGGUCCACGUGUCAUCCUAAUCGGAUUCGGUUUACGGUUCUGUUUAUACGGUGACGUUAAUUUCUUUUCUUUAUUUUCGGGUUCCCUCCAAAUUCUCUGUUGUGUUAUAAAGAGAUUGGGAUCUUUGGGACCGCAUACUCGCAAAGGUGUUAACGGGUUGGAUUAUAUUCAGAUCCGUAAAAGAUCCUACCAAUAAAAAAAUAGGGGUUAAUUACAUACAGGUAAGCCACAGAUAUAGUAAAUUACAAAUAUAUUUCUAUAAAAUUUAAUUUUUAUAAGUUAUUCCUACAAAAGUCAUAAUAAUUUUUAAGAUAUGUCCUUAUAACAAUAGAUUAAAUACUUUAUCCUAGUUAAUUUUUGAUAUUUUUACCCUUUUUAUAUUAUAUUUUUAUAAUUUUUAGAGUAAUAUAUUUGUAAUGGCAAAAUUGAUAAUAUAAACAGUUUUCUAAUGGCUCUCUAACGGUAACAAAACAGAGGAAUAUAUCUGAAAAUAUUAGAACUUUUGCAACUAUAAUUUAUGAAAGUUGAACUUUAUAGGUAUAUAUUUGUAAUUCAUUAUGUUUGCAAAGACUUGUAUAUAAUUAAUCCAAUAUAUAUAUAUAGAGAGAGAGAGAGGGGGUUGGUAUGCAGUAAAAUCAAAUAUACAGUAAAAUAUAUGAUUUUAAAAUUCGUGCUAUUUACAUGAUAAAUUAUAUAAAAAGGGGAAAAAAAAAUAA